AGUGAACGCUGGCGGUAGGCCUAACACAUGCAAGUCGAACGGCAGCACAGUAAGAGCUUGCUCUUACGGGUGGCGAGUGGCGGACGGGUGAGGAAUACAUCGGAAUCUACUUUUUCGUGGGGGAUAACGUAGGGAAGCUUACGCUAAUACCGCAUACGACCUACGGGUGAAAGCAGGGGAUCUUCGGACCUUGCGCGAUUGAAUGAGCCGAUGUCGGAUUAGCUAGUUGGCGGGGUAAAGGCCCACCAAGGCGACGAUCCGUAGCUGGUCUGAGAGGAUGAUCAGCCACACUGGAACUGAGACACGGUCAAGACUCCUAAGGGAGGCAGCAGUGGGGAAUAUUGGACAAUGGGCGCAAGCCUGAUCCAGCCAUACCGCGUGGGUGAAGAAGGCCUUCGGGUUGUAAAGCCCUUUUGUUGGGAAAGAAAAGCAGCAGGUUAAUACCCCGCUGUUCUGACGGUACCCAAAGAAUAAGCACCGGCUAACUUCGUG
rnacentral:rRNA from 1 species